CAGUAGCCACGGUAAUACGGAGGGAGCUAGCGUUGUUCGGAAUUACUGGGCGUAAAGCGCACGUAGGCGGCUUUGUAAGUCAGAGGUGAAAGCCUGGAGCUCAACUCCAGAACUGCCUUUGAGACUGCAUCGCUUGAAUCCAGGAGAGGUGAGUGAAAUUCCGAGUGUAGAGGUGAAAUUCGUAGAUAUUCGGAAGAACACCAGUGGCGAAGGCGGCUCACUGGACUGGUAUUGACGCUGAGGUGCGAAAGCGUGGGGAGCAAACAGGAUUAGAUACCCGCGUAGUCCCUGUCUCUUAUAC
rnacentral:rRNA from 1 species